ensembl:lncRNA
AUAUCAAUUUGUUUGCAAAUGUUAUGAGAACACCACACAUAAGAUUUUGGUGCAUAUUUGUUACGCAUUUUGUUGUAGAGAAUUCCAGCUAAUACUAGCUAGCAACUUACUGUGUCUGGUGGGGGGGUUCUUAUAUUUUGUACAGUGUGUGAGUGCAGAGUUGGAUGGUGAGCUGUGCAUUGCAUGACGUGCAAUUUAGUGCUGUUUCUAUCAGAAUUAAGCUCCAUGGCUGGUGCUACAAGUUGGAGUUCUUGUCAAUGAUUGAUUGUACACAACGCAAGAAGAGUACUGUUACAUAUGCACCAAUCAUCUGUUUCUUCAUAAACAUAGAUUUCACCGCUCUUCACUCCUUUACUACGCAUCGGCGGAAAUCCAUUUCCUCAUGAGAGUGAAAUCCCGCUGGCCUUUGAUGGGGAGAACGAACAUCCACGCCCUCGAGGACGUCCCCAUGGGACUUGGGGCUCUGCUAGGGCUGUAUUUUUUAUUUUCCCUCAAAUUUCCCCAAAAUGUCAGAAAAACACUUAUGUUGUUAAGUUACUGUGUUCUGGGGAUAAGAGAAGUGGGGUGAAGUUACCAGGGCCGGUCAUAAAGAUGACAAACUUCCUAACAUAACUAAGUGGAUAUGAUAUACACACUAAAGCUGAAAAAUCUGUAUUUAGCAUCAAGUCUACAAUAUUGCUAGUUUACCUAUGAUUAAUUUAGUAUGUAUGUUGUUUUUAUUGUACAUCAUUAUUAUAUUUUUUUUAAUGUCAUGAAAAUCACUAAACAAAGUAAAUGUAUUAUUUGUUAUGGUCUGACAUGUCUGUAGAUAUGUUGCAAUUUUGUAAUGUGUUUUGUUUGGUGAAUUGUUUUGUAAAUAUUAAUUCAUAUUUGUGGUGCCACUAAAUAUACAAUUCAUUAUUUAAAUCAAUAUUGUCAAUAUUGUUAUUAGUAUUAUUAAAAUGUGUUUUUAUAAUAGGAGGGUGGACAGGGAGUUUAAAAAAAUACCCAAAAGGUUCUUAGAGGAACCAUGAUAAGGGGUUCCCACAAAAGGUUCUUCAAAUAACUUUUAGGGGUUCCCCCACAGUUUCAAUUUGAAGAACCCCUAAAGGAUACUCCAGGAAUCUUUACUUUUUAGAGGGUAUAUUGAUAAAAGUGACCUUGUCCGAGAGACAUUUACAUAGUUAUACACAGCCCAAUAUGGGAUGACUAUUUUGGGGCGAAAUAGCGGCCACAACAGACAGACCUGCCCAUAAUUUAACGUCCUUGGACGUCACGUGCUGAGUGGGUAUGACUAAAGUUAUUCAAUUUAGCUACACUUUGUAGUACAUUUUUACACUAUAAUAAAUGUUUCUUAUGCCACAUCGCCCGUUUUCAAAGGGAGUCGAUGGCUUUUAGUGGCUUUUUAGCUUUUUGUCUGAAAGUAUUUUCUCAACUGCGAUACCAACUCCAGUCAGCAGAUGGCGAUGUGCGUCUUUCAGGUGAUUCUGCCACUGUGACGUAUAAUCUAGUGGACGGGACGCUUCUUCAACAUCAACAGCUAGUCAGCCACCUUGGUUCACUCUAACUUUAUGGAAAAAGGUUUAUUCAAUAAAUCUUGCAACUCCUCUCAUACUGGGAAGAACCUUAUAGGGGCAGUUUUAUUUCAAAUGUAGUACCCGGACGGAGAAAAUCCAAUAAGCGUUUUAUAGUUACAUCGUUUGGGUAACUUACCCUAAAGUCUACACAUUCCCAUCAGUUUCUGAGACAACUGCCCAGACUUUGUCGACAGUCUAAUAAUGCUACCUCAUCUUUAUCAAAUGAUCCAUUAAAGAAACCAACUCAAAACCUACGUUUGUCUACAUAUGGGUUGUUUAAAUUGUAUAUAAUUAUAUUCCCAGUAUUACUUCAUCAAAUCUCUAUUAAUCGAUUAUACACACAUACAAUUGAUCAUAUUUUCAAAUAUUCACAGAAUCCAUAUAAAACGUAAGAAAUUCUCAAGUACUCACGAAAACCAUUCCAUUUGCUUUUUCAAGGACUCUCCAUAGCUACGAAGAAGCUCUCCAAACUCCCAGCAGAACAAAAAAUAACCUUUGUUUCCCGGACAAUGACCAUGGGUUCCCCAACAGUUCUCUAACCUCCCAGAGACCACGGCAAAAUCAAGCCUCCCAGGAACUAUAGACCUUCCGCUGCUUUCUAAAAUAUCAUCCCGCUUAUUAUCCAAAUUUCAAUCAUCUGAUUAAGCAUAUUUCUAUAUGUUACUAUCCAAAUGUCAGAUUAAGAUUAAUUUCCACAACUCUCAUAUCAGUCACACAGCUCUCAUAUCACAGUCAAACAAUGCUAUUCCCAAACAUAACUAAUCAAUUAGUUGUUUUUCAACAAUAUUUUAACAUGCAGGAGUAUUUUCUCAUUUCUAUCUCAUGGUUAGUUCCUCGGAUAAUGCAACUCAUACAUUUACAUCUUUCAAUACUUCUAAAAUGGGGUACAGGUUUAAAACAAUAACAGGUUUAAAACAAUUACAUGUUUAAAAUAAUUACAGGUCCACCUUACUAGCUUAUACUAUAUCAUAAAUAGUAUUAAAUAGUAAACAGAUUCUAGUUUUCAUCCAGUUCACACAGAUAGCUGACUCAGCCCUGUUUACACCUCCAAGGUACUAAAGAAAAAACACUCAGAGCCUACAAAGCUUUUCUAAAAACUCCACUUUGCGUGUUUCGCUCACCUCUUAAAAAAAAAACUGUGUUUGAGAUGUGGUAUCCACUCGGCUCACUGCCUCUCAGAUCAAAGGUGGGUCCAUCUGCUCCUUUCCCGAAGUGUGGUCUCCCUGAGAUUCCAAGUUAGAGGGAUCCCUCGUGCACGAUUUACCCAGGUCGUCAGGAGCCGUCACCAAGUGAAAAUUCACAUCCCUGUCGCCAAAUGUGGUGGUUAAUUGUUUUUAUAUCAAAUGAGAAGAGACAAACUUAUCACACAAGUCAGAGUUAUUCUUAAACUAAAUCUUUAUUCACUUAUUAAUAAGGGAGCAGGUCCAUACAACGAACACAUGUAAAGUGAAUCAAUUGAGUGUGCUACGAUAAUGAUGGCUGGUCGACCCACGGGAAAAAAGUACAAAGGUCUUUUAUAGCCAAGAUACACCCCUUUCAACCUACAUGACGAACAACAGAUGUAUAGAACAGGUCACAAGGUUAAGAUUUGUAUUAAAGAUACUUAAAACUCUCAGCAGACAGUAUCUGCUGUAAAAACAGUACUCUGUGUAGAGACCAGGGUCUGGCCCUGGGGUCAUCUCUCCCUGGUACCAUAUAGAACAGAAACAUUAACUCAUCCUCUGGAAUGUGGUCUCUUUAGGUUUUAUCACCCAAAAGACAUUGUCAGUGUUAUCUCCCAUAGGCCCAUCCUCAGUAGAACACACAGACACAAUAGUUCUAAGAACCCUCUAUUCUGUUGCAUAAAACAACCAUUUGAUGCAAUAAAAGUAUUAAAACAUUAUUUCAGUUUUGCUCUCAGUGUCCACUGAAAGUUGACUAGUAACAACAACUGGGACAUAAAAGACACCCAUCAUGAGACCCACUAAAUCUGCCCAAGAAGAGGCAAACAAAAGAAAAACCCACACCAAACUUAAAGACAGGAAGUGGCACAACUAAAGGUGUUGACUCUCCACAUCUAUCAAGACAACUGGACUAGCUCAGAUGAAACACCUUCCCACUAACGAGAUGGACAAGCCAGCACAGGUGUAACACAUACUGACUAAUGAGGUGACACCAAUCGACCAAUCGGUGCACUGAAGACACAUUUCAGAUUAAUGCAUUCAGUUGUACAACUGACUAGGUAUCCCCCUUUCCUACGUUCUAA